GAUGAACGCUGGCGGCGUGCCUAAUACAUGCAAGUCGAGCGAACAGAUGAGGAGCUUGCUCCUCUGACGUUAGCGGCGGACGGGUGAGUAACACGUGGAUAACCUACCUAUAAGACUGGGAUAACUUCGGGAAACCGGAGCUAAUACCGGAUAAUAUAUUGAACCGCAUGGUUCAAUAGUGAAAGACGGUUUUGCUGUCACUUAUAGAUGGAUCCGCGCCGCAUUAGCUAGUUGGUAAGGUAACGGCUUACCAAGGCAACGAUGCGUAGCCGACCUGAGAGGGUGAUCGGCCACACUGGAACUGAGACACGGUCCAGACUCCUACGGGAGGCAGCAGUAGGGAAGCUUCCGCAAUGGGCGAAAGCCUGACGGAGCAACGCCGCGUGAGUGAUGAAGGUCUUCGGAUCGUAAAACUCUGUUAUUAGGGAAGAACAAAUGUGUAAGUAACUAUGCACGUCUUGACGGUACCUAAUCAGAAAGCCACGGCUAACUACGUG
rnacentral:rRNA from 1 species